ACAGCAGUAGCCGCGGUAAAACGGAGGGUGCAAGCGUUGUCCGGAUUUAUUGGGUUUAAAGGGUGCGUAGGCGGCCUAAUAAGUCAGUGGUGAAAGCCUCCAGCUUAACUGGAGAACUGCCAUUGAUACUGUUAGGCUUGAGUAUACUUGAGGUAGGCGGAAUUGACAGUGUAGCGGUGAAAUGCAUAGAUAUUGUUAAGAACACCAAUUGCGAAGGCAGCUUACUAAAUUAUAACUGACGCUGAGGCACGAAAGUGUGGGUAUCAAACAGGAUUAGAUACCCCGGUAGUCCCUGUCUCUUAUAC
rnacentral:rRNA from 1 species